CGCUGAACGAUGUCUGUCUGGCUCAUGUCACGGUCAUUUGCAGGACGUCUGAGCAGCAGCAGCAGAAUGACGCUUUAGUCUCACAGGUUGAAGCACAGAGAAGGAACAGGCGAAGAGAGAAAUGGCUGUGGAUGACCUCUGUGAUAUUCUUCCUCCUGGCCUUCACUUUUAUCAAUGCGGAAUAAUCUCUGAACCUGAUGCAUGAAAACCUGAAUCUAUCUCCUAUCUGACUGCUUGUGAGAUGCCACAGGAUGCUCACACAUGGGACCUCAGUAAUCAAGCACCCACAGGACACAGAGACUUUGGAUCAGAGUUCAAUUCACGCGGAUUUAUUUGUAAUCAACAGUUUCACAAAUAACUCUGAGUUGGUAUUAAAGACAACAGCCUCCCUCCACA